ACCACUUCUUGGCCUUUUGUCUAAGAUCAUGUGUAGUAUCUAUUCUGAUCACUUUAAUAUCUGAUAUAUCCUCUAUCUGAGGACAAUAUAUUAAAUGGAUUUUUGGUCCAGGGAUUUGAAAUAGGAGCUUACUCAUCUAUUCCAUAAAUUGAUCUGGUAUUGCAGUACUUACAGGGAUGGUGUAGCCCUC